GAAAUGCGAUAAGUAGUGUGAAUUGCAGAAUUCAGUGAAUCAUCGAAUCUUUGAACGCACAUUGCGCCCCUUGGUAUUCCAUGGGGCAUGCCUGUUCGAGCGUCAUUUGUACCCUCAAGCUCUGCUUGGUGUUGGGUGUUUGUCCCCGUCUCCGCGCGUGGACUCGCCCCAAAGUGAUUGGCAGCCGGCGUACUGGUCCCGGAGCGCAGCACAUGUCGCGCAAACGAGUGCCUUGGUACGGCGGCGUCCAUAAGCCCCUCUCUCACGCUCUUGACCUCGGAUCAGGUAGGGAUACCCGCUGAACUGA
rnacentral:misc_RNA from 1 species